AACGCUGGAAAGAGGCCCCCGAAAGGGCGGCUCGCCGAAGGAGCAAGGGGCCGCAAAGCCCCGGAAUCUCUCAGGUCCAAGGGACAGCGGGG
rnacentral:ncRNA from 1 species